CAGCCGCCGCGGGAAUACGAAGGGUGCAAGCGUUACUCGGAAUUACUGGGCGUAAAGCGUGCGUAGGUGGUGGUUUAAGUCCGUUGUGAAAGCCCUGGGCUCAACCUGGGAAUUGCAGUGGAUACUGGGUCACUAGAGUGUGGUAGAGGAUAGUGGAAUUUCCGGUGUAGCAGUGAAAUGCGUAGAGAUCGGAAGGAACAUCUGUGGCGAAGGCGACUAUCUGGGCCAACACUGACACUGAGGCACGAAAGCGUGGGGAGCAAACAGGAUUAGAUACCCGCGUAGUCCCUGUCUCUUAUAC
rnacentral:rRNA from 1 species